rnacentral:misc_RNA from 1 species
AAGUCGUAACAAGGUUUCCGUAGGUGAACCUGCGGAAGGAUCAUUAACACGUAUCCAACGUUAAACCCCCCGUGAACCUUCAUUGUGCUCCCCCAUUCCGUUAGUUUUGAUUCAGGGACCUCUGCAUGGAGUGGGCAGCAGCGCGAGGCAAGUGACCUGGCAUUCCUCUGCUUGUUGGUGUCUGAAAGUGUCACUAGCUCUGUAAGAAUGGCGCAGUAACGAUCGCUAGAGGCCGACACGGCCGGCGACCGGGUCGCUGGGCUCACGCCCCCCUAUCACCUUUGCAUGAAAACGGGCCUGCGCUUAAUUGUGCGGCCACCAAACUCGAACAACUGUUAACAAUGGAUAUCUUGGUUCUC